GCCGUGGAAGCUUUAUUGCUGGCAAAAGUGGCCAUAAUGAAUUAAACUGUUCUGUGUUCUUUUCUCCAUCUCUGUCUGUCUUGUUGUACAUGGAACCUGUCUCUCAUGCAUUAAUUUAAAAAAACUUAAGAUGUCAGCUGCUAAUUUUCAGAUUUACACCACAUGAACACAGCCAUUUUCACUGGACUAUCUGUUGCGCUGUUGCUGCCAAGUCAUGAUUUCCAUGGUGGUGAGACACAUAGCCCUCUAUAUUUAAAUGUUUCAGGUACACUCCGAUAGGAGUCUGCGUCACAUACAGUAUCUUCUAUUGACAUUAUCUUCUAUUGUUUGUCCUCAUGUGUCUGUUUUUCAGUAUAAAGUACUCUGUAGCCACUUAGUGUGGACACCAGGUGAGACCACACACACACAAUAAGUCUCUCUUCUUCACUUCAUCCCUCUCCCCCUUCUCCCUAAAUCCUCUAGGUUAUAUCAGCUGUUUUGGUGAACCCCUCCCGCAUCUGAACUGGCUGACACUGAGGGCACAGCAUGAUCAUUUGUGAGAUGUCACUUGGUCAGGUCAACAGGAACUAUUAUUAAAGAGAUGUUUUACAUUGAAAUACAGACAGAGAUGUAGUAGUCCCAGAGUUAAUGAUCCAAGGUAUGUUUGGAUGUGAGAGAGGAAAGCCAGCCGUGUCAUCGCCACCUCACCCGCUCUUAUGAUAACCAUCGGGCCAACAGGGGGCCCAAGGCUGGUUAGGAGACACCGCAAUUGUGAUGAACUGAGAGAAUAUUAGGGUAGCACUGUAAUUCAUGAAUCAUAUGCUGUCUGCCACUGUUCUUACAUCCUUUCCCUUUCUGUCUUCUACACCUCUCUCCCCACCUCAGAGCAGGAGUGGUAAACACUGUUGACGUGUAUAAUUGUAAUACAUACAUGCAGACUUGCAGAUAUGCAAGCAGACAGUAUUUAAACUACAUACAAUAUGCCCUCAAGUUUAACUGAAGUAUUAUCAGAAACCUGUUUCAUCGUUUUCUCAGCCUCUCAUUUAGUUGAAACCGGUCAAACUGAAGACCUUUGGACAUUUCGCACAGGAACAAUCUUCCCGCUGUUUUGGAGUUGCAUUUAUUCGGUCCGUAAACUAAAUACAACUUCAUCAGUGUUAACUAGAAUACUAAUGCAUUAAUUCUAUUGAUGUAAGACAUUAUUCUGGGGAGCACUACAUUAUUUAGUCUUCUGGAUUUAGUCUUCUGCAACAAGUUAUGACGGAAGAGAACCUGCAUGUAUCUAACUACAGUUGACAAAUAAAUGGCCUACCAAAUGUCAGAUAUUAUAAGCAGAAAUGUAUCUAAAUUAGGGAUAAAUGUAGCCUAAGCCAGUAGAGUACAAGGUCCAGUACAGAGCAUCGGUGAAAGAAAUUAUUAUGGGGGAACUGCUCAGCUAGCCUACAUUCUGAAGUGAUUUGUUUGACAAUUAGAUGAAAACAUCAACACCCAUGAGUUCCGAAACUAAGCCUACUCAGACCGUGAAAAACAACUGUAAACGGGAUAAGAUGUUUACAUGCCACAGUAUCCUGUCUAAAAAUCAGCAUAUCCCAAGCAUUUUAUCCGGGUUUCUCAUAACCGGGAUUCAAGGUUUUUCGGGUUAUUGUAAACGGGAUAUGAUGUUUAUAUGUGUCAAAACAGAAUACUUGAGUAUCCCGAAUAACAAUGGGAUAUUGGAGUGCAUGUAAACGUGGUCAGUGAUGUGCAUGGGCAUAUUUUGGGGAGGUUGAGAUGCAGCUCUUCCUCAGAGUAGAAUCAACUGGACUUGUACUGUUAGUGUCGUGACCCCAUACAGUUGAUUGCAAUCCACAAUCCACAAAAGCCAAGGCUAGCUUUUUCAAGCAGAAAUUUGCUUCCUGCAACACUAACUCAAAAAAGUUCUGGGACACUGUAAAGUCCAUGGAGAAUAAGAACACCUCCUCCCAGCUGCCCACUGCACUGAAGAUAGGAAACACUGUCACCACUGAUAAAUCCACCAUAAUUGAGAAUUUCAAUAAGCAUUUUUCUACGGCUGGCCAUGCUUUCCACCUGGCUACUCCUACCCCGGUCAACAGCACUGCAACCCCAACAGCAACUCGCCCAAGCCUUCCCCAUUUCUCCUUCUCCCAAAUCCAUUCAGCUGAUGUUCUGAAAGAGCUGCAAAAUCUGGACCCCUACAAAUCAGCCGGGCUAGACAAUCUGGACCCUUUCUUUCUAAAAUUAUCUGCCGAAAUUGUUGCCACCCCUAUUACUAGCCUGUUCAACCUCUCUUUCGUGUCAUCUGAGAUUCCCAAAGAUUGGAAAGUAGCUGUGGUCAUCCCCCUCUUCAAAGGGGGGGACACUCUUGACCCAAACUGCUACAGACCUAUAUCUAUCCUACCGUGCCUUUCUAAGGUCUUCAAAGCCAAGUCAACAAACAGAUUACCGACCAUUUCGAAUCUCACCAUACCUUCUCUGCUAUGCAAUCUGGUUUCAGAGCUGGUCAUGGGUGCACCUCAGCCACGCUCAAGGUCCUAAACGAUAUCUUAACCGCCAUCGAUAAGAAACAUUACUGUGCAGCCGUAUUCAUUGAUCUGGCCAAGGCUUUCGACUCUGUCAAUCACCACAUCCUCAUCGGCAGACUCGACAGCCUUGGUUUCUCAAAUGAUUGCCUCGCCUGGUUCACCAA
ensembl:lncRNA